CACUGGGUGUGGGUGGAGCAGCUGGAUACAUGGACCUUGCUGGGUGUGUGAGUGCCUCCCAAAGAAGAGUUCCCAGCGCCACGGCUCCCAAGACCUCCACCAAGCUGGUAAUUGGACACAGGUCGCGGCAGGUGGCAAAAGUGGACGUGGCUGGCGAGUAGUGCGGACUUUGUGCCCCAUCAGGACGUCAUUGUCUCCAGUCGUGUGGUCCAGUGAGUCACCGCUCUACCGCACGACAGUGACCCCAAGGAAGUCCCAGUCCACAGCAGGGAUGUGGCCACCCCUGGCCACAGCCCCAAGUGUUCCCUGGUGGGCCAUACUCACUGAGCUCCUCCUCCUCCUCCUCCUCCUCACCCGGCUGCCGUGGAAGGAGUCACCACGGCUGUCAGCAGAACAACUUGGAGCGUCCGCCCUUCCUGCCGCCAGUGGUCGGAGACUCUCUCUUCACACGGUCUGCAUGUCAGCAAGGCACUACAUCGGACUCCACUACAACCUCCACAACCUCUACGGACUGUCAGAGACGAGUGCCACCAGUGCAUAAGUCUAUUAUGCUCAGAGUUUUAGGUGCAGGGAGGGAUAUGCUGACAGUAAGUUUGUGGUAUGCAUUCAAUAUGGGCACAGUACAUUAGUGAUGUGCUUGCAGUAAGUUUGUGGUGUGCAUUUAGUAUCGUUACAAUGUAUUAAUGAUAUACCCAAGUCAUUGGCAAGAGGAAAUACAGAUGAAGGAAGGCUGUUUUUCUUUCAGAGUUUACCAGCCAAAGGGAUGAAAGAAUGAAGAUGCUGGCUGGCUGACUCCUGCAUAAGGGAUUAGGGCAGCAUAGGGAUGAGCCAGUGUUUAAAAUGAUGGAUGGUAGGGGUUGAGGCAUGCAGCUACCAAGUUCAGGAGUGCCCGCCAGUCCUCUUUCUUAUAACAUAUCAAUACUUUCAUUUAGUAUCUAUCAAUAUGGCCAUUACUUGUUGCCAGACCCCUGCAGGGUGUGGGAGCCAGGCGGCCAUUCAUCACUUCCCGCUCGUCCAUCCCAGGCCAGGGCCACUACUGGGGCCACUGGACGGGCCACGUGUGCUCCCACUGCUUCAACAUGUGGCACUCCACCGCAGAUCCCUCCAGUAGGCUGAGAAGAAGCUCCAGAGCCUGGCCCCGGAGAUGGAGGGGCAGCGGCGGGCCAGGAAGCCCUCCGGCUCUGAGACGUGUGGCGCCACAACCAACAACUCCGCGUGCAGGGCGGGCUUAGAGAAAGGCUUUACACAGACCCUGGGUAAUGCUCCUGGUCUUGUUCCU